rnacentral:lncRNA from 1 species
AUGACGGACCGACACACGAGUGCUACUCAUUGAAAAUACACAGCUGCACUGGUGAAGCUGUCAGUGAAAGGAAGCAAGAGGUUUUGGCAGCUGCAAGAGGGGAAGAGGUGAGGCCCUGGACUCAUGAGAAGGCGUUGGAGAUCUCUGGAGUCUGAUGACGUUUUUGGCCAUCUGAAGAAAACUCAUUUCAUCCCCACCCUUUUGUGAAUAAGGCAGAGGAUACUUUGAGGAGCACAUUGACAGAAGCCCUCAAAAUUCUUGUAAGUACCAUUUUUCUGAAAGUCAUUAAAAGAAAAAUAAAUCUAAAACUUCCUAUCUUGCCUGCUCUAACAGCAACAUUUUCUCUAAGGUCAUCACCAGAUGACUAGAAUGUUUUGUUUACCUUUUGGUCUAAUCAGAGAAGAUAGAUUUUGUUUUGGGAAGAUGUUUGGUUUGUAAUGCAAAGUGCUCACUGAAAGAUGUUUCUGUUUUCUCUGUGUGUAAGGUUUUCCAGAGUCUUUGGUGGUGGCACCAGCUGUGUUUCACAGCCUGCUCACCCAGGAACAGGAUGUUAAAGGACUCACCACA